AUUGAACGCUGGCGGCAGGCCUAACACAUGCAAGUCGAGCGGAUGAAGAGAGCUUGCUCUCUGAUCUAGCGGCGGACGGGUGAGUAAUGCCUAGGAAUCUGCCUGGUAGUGGGGGAUAACGUUCCGAAAGGAACGCUAAUACCGCAUACGUCCUACGGGAGAAAGCAGGGGACCUUCGGGCCUCUCGCUAUCAGGUGAGCCUAGGUCGGAUUAGCUAGUUGGUGAGGUAAUGGCUCACCAAGGCGACGAUCCGUAACUGGUCUGAGAGGAUGAUCAGUCACACUGGAACUGAGACACGGUCCAGACUCCUACGGGAGGCAGCAGUGGGGAAUAUUGGACAAUGGGCGAAAGCCUGAUCCAGCCAUGCCGCGUGUGUGAAGAAGGUCUUCGGAUUGUAAAGCACUUUAAGUUGGGAGGAAGGGUUGUAGAUUAAUACUCUGCAAUUUUGACGUUACCAACAGAAUAAGCACCGGCUAACUUCGUGCCAGCAGCCGCAGUAACAC
rnacentral:rRNA from 1 species